GAUGAACGCUGGCGGCGUGCCUAAUACAUGCAAGUCGAGCGAACAGACGAGGAGCUUGCUCCUCUGACGUUAGCGGCGGACGGGUGAGUAACACGUGGAUAACCUACCUAUAAGACUGGGAUAACUUCGGGAAACCGGAGCUAAUACCGGAUAACAUGUUGAACCGCAUGGUUCAACAGUGAAAGACGGUUUUGCUGUCACUUAUAGAUGGAUCCGCGUCGCAUUAGCUAGUUGGUAAGGUAACGGCUUACCAAGGCAACGAUGCGUAGCCGACCUGAGAGGGUGAUCGGCCACACUGGAACUGAGACACGGUCCAGACUCCUACGGGAGGCAGCAGUAGGGAAUCUUCCGCAAUGGGCGAAAGCCUGACGGAGCAACGCCGCGUGAGUGAAGAAGGUCUUCGGAUCGUAAAACUCUGUUAUUAGGGAAGAACAAAUGUGUAAGUAACUAUACACGUCUUGACGGUACCUAAUCAGAAAGCCACGGCUAACUACGUG
rnacentral:rRNA from 1 species